rnacentral:piRNA from 1 species
UGCCUGGUGGUUCCUAUUGACUAGAUGGUU